rnacentral:rRNA from 1 species
UGCCUAAUACAUGCAAGUCGAGCGAACAGAUAAGGAGCUUGCUCCUUUGACGUUAGCGGCGGACGGGUGAGUAACACGUGGGUAACCUACCUAUAAGACUGGGAUAACUUCGGGAAACCGGAGCUAAUACCGGAUAACAUUUGGAACCGCAUGGUUCUAAAGUGAAAGAUGGUUUUGCUAUCACUUAUAGAUGGACCCGCGCCGUAUUAGCUAGUUGGUAAGGUAACGGCUUACCAAGGCGACGAUACGUAGCCGACCUGAGAGGGUGAUCGGCCACACUGGAACUGAGACACGGUCCAGACUCCUACGGGAGGCAGCAGUAGGGAAUCUUCCGCAAUGGGCGAAAGCCUGACGGAGCAACGCCGCGUGAGUGAUGAAGGGUUUCGGCUCGUAAAACUCUGUUAUUAGGGAAGAACAAACGUGUAAGUAACUGUGCACGUCUUGACGGUACCUAAUCAGAAAGCCACGGCUAACUACGUGCCAGCAGCCGCGGUAAUACGUAGGUGGCAAGCGUUAUCCGGAAUUAUUGGGCGUAAAGCGCGCGUAGGCGGUUUCUUAAGUCUGAUGUGAAAGCCCACGGCUCAACCGUGGAGGGUCAUUGGAAACUGGGAAACUUGAGUGCAGAAGAGGAAAGUGGAAUUCCAUGUGUAGCGGUGAAAUGCGCAGAGAUAUGGAGGAACACCAGUGGCGAAGGCGACUUUCUGGUCUGUAACUGACGCUGAUGUGCGAAAGCGUGGGGAUCAAACAGGAUUAGAUACCCUGGUAGUCCACGCCGUAAACGAUGAGUGCUAAGUGUUAGGGGGUUUCCGCCCCCUUAGUGCUGCAGCUAACGCAUUAAGCACUCCGCCUGGGGGAGUACGACCGCCAGGUUGAAAACUCAAAGGAAUUGACGGGGACCCGCCACAAGCGGUGGAGCAUGUGGUUUAAUUUCGAAGCAACGCGAAAAAACCUUUACCAAAUCUUGACAUCCUUUUGAAAAACUCUAG